CAGCCGCCGCGGUAAUACGUAGGUGGCAAGCGUUGUCCGGAAUUAUUGGGCGUAAAGGGCUCGCAGGCGGUUUCUUAAGUCUGAUGUGAAAGCCCCCGGCUCAACCGGGGAGGGUCAUUGGAAACUGGGAAACUUGAGUGCAGAAGAGGAGAGUGGAAUUCCGCGUGUAGCGGUGAAAUGCGUAGAGAUGUGGAGGAACACCAGUGGCGAAGGCGACUCUCUGGUCUGUAACUGACGCUGAGGAGCGAAAGCGUGGGGAGCGAACAGGAUUAGAUACCCCCGUAGUCCCUGUCUCUUAUAC
rnacentral:rRNA from 1 species